CUACCAAAGAAUUCUUCAGAAUCAUUCCCAGCUGUAUGCUGACCUGAAGCCUUAUUCUUGGGAGAGAUUCAGACACAGCAUCUGCUGUUAAUAUUUGCUGAAAAAUAAACAUAUAAGAGAUGAUUUCACAUUGUGCUGGGUACUGGCAUGAUAUACAGUCUAUAGGGAAUAAGGUUAAGCAUGGUCUCUUUGCUCCAUCCAAUGCUCUCUGAACUGAUUUAAGAUGAAAUUCCCAAGGGAGACAUCCUCAAACAGAAUUAACCACAUACCGAAAUGUCUCUGACUGGAAAACGUCUUGGAACCCCUAACUUUGACAAUACCCACAUUUUAUCUCCCAGGUGGCCUAUGAUAAAUAACUCUCCCUAAGAUUAAAGGUGGAGAAAUACUCCCUGAGUCAGCCCUGGUAGCAGCAACCACUGCCUAUUUUGUCACUACAAACUCCCACAUUCUGCUUUUAUUGCCCAUUGUGUGCCAAACCCUUACCUGCCCUGAAAACUAAGCCUCUAUUUGACCUAAUUUUAUCUCUUCCUUUUCAUCACCUACCUAUAGAAUAUCUCUUUUGAAUUGCAGUGUGAAGACUAUGAAAUUGGUAAUAUUAUAUUUUUAUUCAAUGAAAGAUCUGAAUCAAAAAAGUAUACAUGCUGUCAAAAUUCUUUGCCACACACUGUUAGAACACUAAGAAGUUUCCCAGUAAAAGAAAAAAAAGUCUCUAAGAUCAGGCAAAUUAUGGCAAUUUAAAAAAUGGUGAGAUAUCAAAACUAGAAUGGUAUAUGAAAAUUAUGUAAAAAUUUAAAAACAUAUACAAUGCCAUCACUACCAAAGGGAAAGAAAUAAUACCUAUUCAGUAC
rnacentral:lncRNA from 1 species